rnacentral:rRNA from 1 species
AUGAUCUUUCUUUCUGGAUUCUCUACUCGAGUUCCUCUCAAUCUCCUCUCACCAUCGCCUAGAUUCGUAGUCAUUGUCGUCUCAAUCCAAUCAGGUUCACUUGGCAGCUGCUCCUCUCAAUCGGGCAUGCUAGAAAGCCACGCUCAUGUGCCGCCGGUCCUCCACCCCACCCGUGCCCUUUUGGCCUGCCCACACACUCCCAUCAGUUGCAUGUGGGUCUACAAGGUUUGGACUCGUUGUCAUGGUUCUCCUGAGUGCUACAAGGCUCGACUUAUUUUCUGCAUGGUAAUACAUGUCUCAUUUAUAUCAUAA